rnacentral:miRNA from 2 species
AGUUUUUUUUUUUCUUUUUC